UACGUAGGGUGCAAGCGUUGUCCGGAAUUAUUGGGCGUAAAGAGCUCGUAGGCGGUUUGUCGCGUCGAAUGUGAAAACCCGGGGCUCAACCCCGGGCCUGCAUUCGAUACGGGCAGACUAGAGUUCGGUAGGGGAGUCUGGAAUUCCUGGUGUAGCGGUGAAAUGCGCAGAUAUCUGGAGGAACACCGGUGGCGAAGGCGGCGUUCUGGACUGCUACUGACACUGAGGAACGAAAGCCAGGGGAGCAAACGGG
rnacentral:rRNA from 1 species